GAGUUUGAUCCUGGCUCAGGAUGAACGCUGGCGGCGUGCUUAACACAUGCAAGUCGAACGAAGCACCUUAUUCUGAUUUCUUCGGAAUGAAAAAUUUGGUGACUGAGUGGCGGACGGGUGAGUAACGCGUGGGUAACCUGCCUCAUACAGGGGGAUAACAGUUAGAAAUGACUGCUAAUACCGCAUAAGACCACAGCACCGCAUGGUGCAGGGGUAAAAACUCCGGUGGUAUGAGAUGGACCCGCGUCUGAUUAGGUAGUUGGUGGGGUAACGGCCUACCAAGCCGACGAUCAGUAGCCGACCUGAGAGGGUGACCGGCCACAUUGGGACUGAGACACGGCCCAAACUCCUACGGGAGGCAGCAGUGGGGAAUAUUGCACAAUGGGGGAAACCCUGAUGCAGCGACGCCGCGUGAGCGAUGAAGUAUUUCGGUAUGUAAAGCUCUAUCAGCAGGGAAGAAAAUGACGGUACCUGACUAAGAAGCACCGGCUAAAUACGUGCCAGCCGCCGCGGUAAUUC
rnacentral:rRNA from 1 species